AGUUAGAGACUGAAGGAGGACUGGAAACAUGCAUAGAGCUUUGCUGCUGUUGCUCUUCAUUGCUGUGCUGCACUUCUCAGAUGCUUUUCCAAUGGAACCACUCCAGAAGACUCCUCUACUGAUCCGGUCAUCAGAUCCACAGCCGUCAGAAAGUGUAACACUAGGAGACUUGCAGGACGUGAGAGCCAGCAGUCUUGGAUUUCGUCUGAAGAGAGCCAAUUCUGCUAACACGAAGAAGCCGGCCCGUUUCUGUGCUGGAUGUUUCUCAGUCAUCGGAGACCCAACGAGACCGGAAAAAUAAAUCUACUUUAUUUAAAUGUGACCCUGGACCACAAAACCAGUUUUCUGUUGCACAGGUAUAUUUUGGCGAUGGUAUAUUUAGAUUUUAUUUUUGGUUUUAUGUCAAAAAUCAUCAUAAUAUUAAGUAAACAUUAAGUUCCAUGAAGAUAUUUUGUAAAUUUCCUUCCAUAAAUAAAUAAAAACUCAAUUUUUAGAUAGCUAAGAAUUUAAUUUGGACGUCUUUCACCAUGAUUUUCUCAGUAUUUGGACUAUUUUUAAACACUCAGAUUCCAGAUGUCAAUAAAAAUUACAAACAUUGUCCAAUCCUGACAAAGUAUGACUGGAAAGCUUGUUUAUUCGAAUUUCAACGAAUACAUAAAUGUCAAUUUCAAAAAAAUUACAUUUAUGGCAUAUUUUGUGGUCCAGGGUCAGAUAUCUGAAAUAAUAUUUGUAUACCUGUAUAAUUUAUAACCCCUUAUGUGGAUAAAAAUGUUUAUUAAUAUUUUUUUUGU
ensembl:processed_transcript